CGGCGAGUGAAGCGGCAACAGCUCAAAUUUGAAAUCUGGCCCUUUUAGGGUCCGAGUUGUAAUUUGCAGAGGGCGCUUUGGCGUUGGCAGCGGUUCAAGUUCCUUGGAACAGGACGUCACAGAGGGUGAGAAUCCCGUACGUGGUCGCUAGCCUUCGCCGUGUAAAGCCUCUUCGACGAGUCGAGUUGUUUGGGAAUGCAGCUCUAAAUGGGAGGUAAAUUUCUUCUAAAGCUAAAUACUGGCCAGAGACCGAUAGCGCACAAGUAGAGUGAUCGAAAGAUGAAAAGCACUUUGGAAAGAGAGUCAAAUAGCACGUGAAAUUGUUAAAAGGGAAGCGCUUGCAGCCAGACUUGCCCGUAGUUGCUCAUCCAGGCUUUUGCCUGGUGCACUCUUCUAUGGGCAGGCCAGCAUCAGUUUGGGCGGCUGGAUAAAGGUCUCUAUCACGUACCUCCUUUCGGGGAGGCCUUAUAGGGGAGACGACAUGCAGCCAGCCUGGACUGAGGUCCGCGCAUUCGCUAGGAUGCUGGCGUAAUGGCUGUAAGCGGCCCGUCUUGAAACACGGACCAAGGAGUCUAACAUCUAUGCGAGUGUUUGGGUGUCAAGCCCGAACGCGCAAUGAAAGUGAACGGAGGUGGGAACCCUUAAGGGUGCACCAUCGACCGAUCCUGAUGUCUUCGGAAGGAUUUGAGUAAGAGCAUAGCUGUUGGGACCCGAAAGAUGGUGAACUAUGCUUGAAUAGGGUGAAGCCAGAGGAAACUCUGGUGGAGGCUCGCAGCGGUUCUGACGUGCAAAUCGAUCGUCAAAUUUGGGCAUAGGGGCGA
rnacentral:rRNA from 1 species